AGACAUGAAGAACCAGUCCGAACAGCUCCUGCCGCAAGUUCCGCUCCUGCCGCAAGUUCCGCUCCAGAUAAUCAUGUUUGCCUUAUUUGUCUUUGCAAUGCAAAAGAUAUGGCCUUUGGUUGUGGACACAUCAGACCUGUUGCGAGUGCGGAAAAGACCUUCAGUUGUGUCCGAUCUGUCGAAGAACCAUUGACACCAGAAUAAAACUCUAUU